rnacentral:rRNA from 1 species
GACGAACGCUGGCGGCGUGCUUAACACAUGCAAGUCGAACGGGCCUUGUCCCCUUUUUUUUGGGGGUGGGGUUAGUGGCGAACGGGUGAGUAACACGUGAGUAACCUGCCCCUCACUUCUGGAUAACCGCUUGAAAGGGUGGCUAAUACGGGGUGUUCUGGCCUGCUCGCAUGGGUGGGUUUGGAAAGAUUCGACCGGUUUUGGUUGUUUUGGUGGGGGAUGGGCUCGCGGCCUAUCAGCUUGUUGGUGGGGUGAUGGCCUGCCAAGGCUUUGACGGGUAGCCGGCCUGAGAGGGUGGGCGGUCACACUGGGACUGAGACACGGCCCAGACUCCUACGGGAGGCAGCAGUGGGGAAUAUUGCACAAUGGGCGCAAGCCUGAUGCAGCGACGCCGCGUGAGGGAUGGAGGCCUUCGGGUUGUGAACCUCUUUCGCCAGUGAAGAAGGUCCU